CGAGGUAGGAGUCGACUCCUGUGAGGUAUGGUGCUGGGUGCAGAUGCAGUGUGGCUCUGGAUAGCACCUUAUGGACAGUUCUGUCCCAAAGGAGGGAUGAGAAUAGCUACUGAAUUGUUUCUUCCCAGGUCCUAAAGAGCAAGCCUAACUCAAGCCAUUGGCACACAGGCAUUAGACAGAAAGCUGAAGUUGAAAUGGUGGAGUCCAACUUGUCUGGACCAGCUUAACGGUUCUGCUCCUGGUAACGUUUUUAUCCGUGGAUGGCUUGCUUGGGUAUGGAGAGUUGGCUUGACUACCCUGUGUGGAGCAAGUUUUAAAGAAGCAAAGAACUCAGAAUUCAUGCUUGAAGAAAUGCAGGCAGACCUGUUAUCCUAAACUAGGGUUUUUAAUGACCACAACAAGCAAGCAUGCAGCUUACUGCUUGAAAGGGUCUUGCCUCACCCAAGCUGGAGUGCAGCGGCCUUUGAAGCUUACUACAGCCUCAAACUUCUGGGCUCAAGUGAUCCUCAGCCUCCCAAUGGUCUUUGUAGACCGCCUGAUGGAGUCUCAUGGCACAAGAAGAUUAAAACAAUGUCUCCAAUUUUAAUAAAUUUUUGCAAUCCAAAAAA
rnacentral:lncRNA from 1 species